UGGGGAAUAUUGCGCAAUGGGGGAAACCCUGACGCAGCGACGCCGCGUGUGGGAUGAAGGUCUUCGGAUUGUAAACCACUGUCGCGAGGGACGAAGCUCUGACGGUACCUCGAAAGGAAGCACCGGCUAACUCUGUGCCAGCAGCCGCGGUAAUACAGAGGGUGCGAGCGUUGUCCGGAAUCACUGGGCGUAAAGGGCGCGUAGGCGGCCCGGUAAGUAGGGGGUGAAAUCUCAUGGCUCAACUGUGAGGCUGCCUUCUAGACUGCCAGGCUUGAGCACAGUAGAGGCGAGUGGAAUUCCCGGUGUAGCGGUGGAAUGCGUAGAGAUCGGGAAGAACAUCCGGUGGCGAAGGCGGCUCGCUGGGCUGUUGCUGACGCUGAGGCGCGAAAGCGUGGGGAGCAAACAGGAUUAGAUACCCCUGUAGUCCCUGAGCGGGCUGGCAAGGCGCAU
rnacentral:rRNA from 1 species